AGCGAACGCUGGCGGCAGGCCUAACACAUGCAAGUCGAACGAACUCUUCGGAGUUAGUGGCGGACGGGUGAGUAACACGUGGGAACGUGCCUUUUGGUUCGGAAUAACUCAGGGAAACUUGUGCUAAUACCGAAUGCGCCCUUCGGGGGAAAGAUUUAUCGCCAUUAGAGCGGCCCGCGUCUGAUUAGCUAGUUGGUGAGGUAACGGCUCACCAAGGCGACGAUCAGUAGCUGGUCUGAGAGGAUGACCAGCCACACUGGGACUGAGACACAGCCCAGACUCCUACGGGAGGCAGCAGUGGGGAAUCUUGCGCAAUGGGCGAAAGCCUGACGCAGCCAUGCCGCGUGAAUGAUGAAGGUCUUAGGAUUGUAAAAUUCUUUCACCGGGGACGAUAAUGACGGUACCCGGAGAAGAAGCCCCGGCUAACUUCGUG
rnacentral:rRNA from 1 species